GCUGCUAGCCAUACCACCCUGAACGCGCCCGAUCUCGUCUGAUCUCGGAAGCUAAGCAGGGUCGGGCCUGGUUAGUACUUGGAUGGGAGACAGCAUUUAUUUUUGCUUUAUCAUAC
rfam:Mustela putorius furo unplaced genomic scaffold scaffold00170, whole genome shotgun sequence.